rnacentral:rRNA from 1 species
CGCGGCCUAUCAGCUUGUUGGUGAGGUAAUGGCUCACCAAGGCGACGACGGGUAGCCGGCCUGAGAGGGUGACCGGCCACACUGGGACUGAGACACGGCCCAGACUCCUACGGGAGGCAGCAGUGGGGAAUAUUGCACAAUGGGCGCAAGCCUGAUGCAGCAACGCCGCGUGAGGGACGACGGCCUUCGGGUUGUAAACCUCUUUUAGCAGGGAAGAAGCGAGAGUGACGGUACCUGCAGAAAAGGCACCGGCUAACUACGUGCCAGCAGCCGCGGUAAUACGUAGGGUGCAAGCGUUGUCCGGAAUUAUUGGGCGUAAAGAGCUCGUAGGCGGUCUGUCGCGUCUGCUGUGAAAACCCGAGGCUCAACCUCGGGCUUGCAGUGGGUACGGGCAGACUAGAGUGCGGUAGGGGAGAUUGGAAUUCCUGGUGUAGCGGUGGAAUGCGCAGAUAUCAGGAGGAACACCGAUGGCGAAGGCAGAUCUCUGGGCCGUAACUGACGCUGAGGAGCGAAAGCGUGGGGAGCAAACAGGCUUAGAUACCCUGGUAGUCCACGCCGUAAACGUUGGGAACUAGAUGUGGGGACCAUUCCACGGUCUCCGUGUCGUAGCUAACGCAUUAAGUUCCCCGCCUGGGGAGUACGG